rnacentral:rRNA from 1 species
AUGGAAAAAGACUUUCAUGAUCAUGCUAAAGCAGCCUGGAGUAGUACUACUCAUAGACCUUAUUAUGCUAGAACUAACCAUCUUGCAGGCUCACUGAAAAAAUGGUGUAAGAAGAAAAAGCCACUGAACCAGGAGCUGAAUUCAUUGGAAGAGCAAAUAAGAGAUAUCCAAUUGAAGCCAGUACAUGAGCAAGAUCACAAUCUGGAGUCUUCCCUUGUUUGCAGGUAUGAGGAAAACUUGACAAAACUUACUCAAUACUAUAGUCAGAGAGCAAAAAAGUAUUGGGCUAUAAUGGGGGACAGGAAUACUAAGUUUUUCCAUCAUGCUGUUCUUAAAAGGAGGAGGAAAAAUCAAAUUGUCUCAAUCAAGGACAAGAAUAAUAUUACUCAUUUUAACCCUGAAAAAAUUGCUCACACCUUUGUUGAUUAUUUCAAAGAUCAAGGGAGGCCAUACUUAGGAACGACUACAACUACUGAUGAAAGAGAUUACACUUAUAGCAUUCCAGACAAGAAGGAAAUUUGGAAUAUUCUAAAAGAAAUGAGGGUGAGUGCAUCUCCAGGCCCAGAUGGACUGAAUGUGGCCUUUUAUCUAGCAUCUUGGGAUUGGAUAGGAGAUGACAUCACUAAUCUGGUAAGGCAGUUUUAUGAUUCUGGUGUUACGCCCAAGCACAUCAAUAAUACCAACAUUGCUUUGAUUCCCAAAAAACAUGUUUGCAAUAUUCCUGCAGAUUAUAGGCCU